GGAAUAUUGCGCAAUGGAGGAAACUCUGACGCAGUGACGCCGCGUAUAGGAAGAAGGUUUUAGGAUUGUAAACUAUUUUAGACAGGGAAGAAAACUGACAGUACCUGUAGAAUAAGCUCCGGCUAACUACGUGCCAGCAGCCGCGGUAAUACGUAGGGAGCAAGCGUUAUCCGGAAUUAUUGGGUGUAAAGGGUGCGUAGACGGGAGAGCAAGUUGGCUGUGAAAUCCCUCGGCUUAACUGAGGAACUGCAACCAAAACUACUUUUCUUGAGUGCAGGAGAGGAAAGCGGAAUUCCUAGUGUAGCGGUGAAAUGCGUAGAUAUUAGGAGGAACACCAGUGGCGAAGGCGGCUUUCUGGACUGUAACUGACGUUGAGGCACGAAAGUGUGGGGAGCAAACA
rnacentral:rRNA from 1 species